rnacentral:rRNA from 1 species
CUAGAUCAGAAGCGAGAAUGUUGACAUGAGUAGCGACAAAGGGGGUGAGAGACCCCCUCGCCGAAAGUCCAAGGGUUCCUGCUUAAAGCUAAUCUGAGCAGGGUAAGCCGGCCCCUAAGGCGAGGCCGAAAGGCGUAGUCGAUGGGAACACGGUUAAUAUUCCGUGGCCAGGAGGAAGUGACGGAUCUCGACGGGAGUUUGCCCUUAUCGGAUUGGGUGGGCUGCUUAGAGGUCCCUGGAAAUAGCCCUCCAUCAGACCGUACCCUAAACCGACACAGGUGGACUGGUAGAGUAUACCAAGGCGCUUGAGAGAACCACGUUAAAGGAACUCGGCAAAAUGCCUCCGUAAGUUCGCGAGAAGGAGGCCCCGUCUGUACGCAAGUGCGGGCGGGGGGCACAAACUAGGGGGUGGCGACUGUUUACUUAAAACACAGGGCUCUGCGAAGCCGUAAGGCGACGUAUAGGGUCUGACGCCUGCCCGGUGCUGGAAGGUUAAAAGGAGGGGUGCAAGCUCUGAAUUGAAGCCCCAGUAAACGGCGGCCGUAACGAUAACGGUCCUAAGGUAGCGAAAUUCCUUGUCGGGUAAGUUCCGACCUGCACGAAUGGCGUAACGAUCUCCCCGCUGUCUCUAACGUGGACUCAGCGAAAUUGAACUGUGUGUCAAGAUGCACACUUCCCGCGGUUAGACGGAAAGACCCCAUGCACCUUUACUCCAGCUUUGCACUGGCAUCAGGAUUGUGAUGUGCAGGAUAGGUGGUAGGCAUCGAAGCGGGGACGCUAGUCCUCGUGGAGCCUCCCUUGAGAUACCACCCUUCGCACUCUUGAUGUCUAACCGCGGCCCGUUAUCCGGGUCCGGGACCCUGCAUGGUGGGGAGUUUGACUGGGGCGGUCGCCUCCCAAACAGUAACGGAGGCGCGCGAAGGUAGGCUCAGACCGGUCGGAAAUCGGUCGUUGAGUGCAAUGGCAGAAGCCUGCCUGACUGCAAGACUGACAAGUCGAGCAGAGACGAAAGUCGGUCAUAGUGAUCCGGUGGUCCCAAGUGGGAGGGCCAUCGCUCAACGGAUAAAAGGUACGCUGGGGAUAACAGGCUGAUGAUGCCCAAGAGUCCAUAUCGACGGCAUCGUUUGGCACCUCGAUGUCGGCUCAUCUCAUCCUGGGGCUGGAGCAGGUCCCAAGGGUAUGGCUGUUCGCCAUUUAAAGAGGUACGUGAGCUGGGUUUAGAACGUCGUGAGACAGUUCGGUCCCUAUCUGCCGUGGGUGUAGGAGACUUGAGAAGAGUUGCCCCUAGUACGAGAGGACCGGGGUGAACGGACCACUGGUGGACCAGUUAUCGUGCCAACGGUAGUGCUGGGUAGCUAUGUUCGGACAGGAUAACCGCUGAAGGCAUCUAAGCGGGAAGCCCCCUUCAAAACAAGGUCUCCCUUGAGGGCCGUGGUAGACCACCACGUCGAUAGGCCAGAGGUGUAAGUGCAGCAAUGCAUUCAGCUGACUGGUACUAAUUGCCCUCAC